rnacentral:rRNA from 1 species
GAUGAACGCUGGCGGCGUGCCUAAUACAUGCAAGUAGAACGCUGAAGGAGGAGCUUGCUCUUCUGGAUGAGUUGCGAACGGGUGAGUAACGCGUAGGUAACCUGCCUGGUAGCGGGGGAUAACUAUUGGAAACGAUAGCUAAUACCGCAUGACAACAGUUAUUGCAUGAUAACUGUUUAAAAGGGGCAACUGCUCCAUUACCAGAUGGACCUGCGUUGUAUUAGCUAGUUGGUGAGGUAACGGCUCACCAAGGCGACGAUACAUAGCCGACCUGAGAGGGGGAUCGGCCACACUGGGACUGAGACACGGCCCAGACUCCUACGGGAGGCAGCAGUAGGGAAUCUUCGGCAAUGGACGGAAGUCUGACCGAGCAACGCCGCGGGAGUGAAGAAGGUUUUCGGAUCGUAAAGCUCUGUUGUAAGAGAAGAACGAGUGUGAGAGUGGAAAGUUCACACUGUGACGGUAUCUUACCAGAAAGGGACGGCUAACUACGUG